AUCCAUAUUAACAACCCAUACAAGUCCUUUCAUUUUCAGAUUCUUCUUUCUAAAUAGUUUUAAGAUAGAGACAUAAACCCGCUGACACGUGCUUAAAAUGCAGUGCAAUCCUAUCUGACGCUUAACCAAACCUAAGUCCGUAAUUUCCCCUGCUUACUUGGACAAGCAAAACAACACCGAAACCGUAAACAACCAGGUGAAGGUCUACUGGAGAAAGAUGACGCAUGGCGCUUACCUGUAAAGCACUUCAGCCUGCGCGCUUUGCGUAGAGUGUGACGAUAGGCUGUGGGAUAGGAAGACGGAAACAAAGGCAAUACCGCCCAACAUUUCCAUACAAAUGUAUUGUAUAUAUUAUUAAGUACGGUCAUACGUAGGCUUAAGGUCGAAGAGCUACAUUCAUCGGAGGGGAGUAGCAAGACAGCUUGUGUAAAGGUUCUUAUCAUGGAGGAUACUGUGAAGAAGGAGCCCAAAAAUGCCCAGGUGCUCUCUCUUGGCCGCAAGGACACCCGUCGCCUCCUCGAUGUGUAUGUGAGGCGCAGCAUCAGUUUAAAUGAUGGGACAUGUGAGGACCAAAUAAAGAAAAACAAGCCUCGGAAGUGGGUGACGCUGUCUAUGAAACACAGGACAGUCUCCCGGCCAAUGAGUGACACCUCACUCACCUUAGGUCCCAGCACACCUCACAAGGACUCUCCCAGCAGCACUCAGCCUGACAGGAAAGUACCAAAUGUGGCUCCAAGAACAAUCUCUGGGCCUGUGGCCAUUACGGAAAUUGAGACUUUUACUGAAACUGAGAAUAAGUCAAAGGAGCACAAGAAGAGGAGCAAAAGAUCCUAUUUAUGGAAAAACUUUCUGGGUUUCUUCUCGAAGAAGGGGAGUGACAAAAAAGAUGAGCAGGACUCACGGACAGAGAAACAUGGACAGUCACAAGGAACUGAGAAAAAGAAAUCCAUAAAGCUGAGGAACUCCACAAAGAAACUAUCCAUAAUAAAGAGCAAGAUUGACAGAGUGUCUGUGAGGAGGAGAUCACAGGCUCGGGACAGGACCAACACUGACAUAACUGGGGUUGAAUCUGUUUUGAGCGUGGUACCUACUGACUCAUACUAUGAGAAAGUGUCUGAAGAACUGGAGAAGAUUGUCCAUGAGGUGAAAGAGAUAGGCACACCUCUUCCAGAUGCCGUUUUGUGCGUGGAACCGACAGAUUCAUACUAUGAGAAAGUGUCUGAAGAGCUGGAAAAAAUUGUGCAUGAAGUGAAAGAGAAACCCACACCUGUUACAGAAGAGGAAGUCAUCAAAAGGAUCAUUGUUCUCAUUAAGCAGCAUGGGGAUGAAAUUGAUUCCAAGCUGAAGGAGAGCCCCAGCUUAAGUUCAUUUUUCCAGAAGCUGUCCUACAACACGUUCAUGCAAUUGGCUGAUACUUAUGUGGAGACCAAGACACCGAUAGUCCCGAAGCACCAGACACCGCACUGUGCCGACAAUGCUCCGGAGCUGGUCAAGCUUGCCUUCACAAUGGACUUCACAGCCAGGAUGGCCUGUCUGUCCCGACAUUCCACAAGCCACAUCAUGGGCUUAGGCCACCGCUACUUAGAGGACCGCUUCACCCAAACCCAACCAACCACACCAGAGACAGUCUGUUCCAAUGUAUUUAAUUAAGUUCCAGUUCAAACCUGUUUUGCACUGCGACUACAACAUUCCGUACACCAACAAUACAACCUGAAUGCUUUCACCAGGAGAUUCAAGGAAGGCCAAAUACAUUUCAAAUUGACAUGUACUGUAUAUAGCUUCGGAGGUUAAUGCUGACCGGAAGUUGCGAAACCAUGACGAUCCUAAUCAUUGAUGCACAGUGCGAAUGAGAUCUACCUACUGCAGCAGGAACUCUCUGGUGUAACAUGUUACAUGAAAUAAACUAAUUUAGAUCAUGUUAAAAUUAAACCAAGAAGCCCAAAGGGAACAUCCCUUACAGCAGGCUUAAUAGCAGUAAAUGCAUAAGAUUUAGGAGUUAGUAUGUACUAGACCUACAACAACACGUCUGUACCCAUUUAAGGGCUCUGUAAGUACUUACCUGAAUUAAUAAUAGUAAGUACUACGUCUGCUAACUGUAUUGACUCUAACUGCUUACACUUAUACCAGCUACUAGGUGGAGUUAAUUUUGACUGUUCCAAUACAGUAGUGUUUCCUAAUCCUGGGUUCCCAGCAGUACAUACUUAAUUCAAGCAAGACAACAACAACCAGAAAAACCUGAGGUUAAUUGGUGUGUGGUGACAGGGUUAUGAGAUGUACACAGUGCACAAGUAAUUGUGCAAUUAAAUGAAGUUUGUAGAAUACUAGUCAUCAGUUUCAGCAGUGUUUAACUUUUUAUAUUUCCAAUGGAUGAAUAUAUAUAUAUUGAUAUAGAUGUGUAAAAUGAUCUGUUUACUUAUGUAUUCAUAUAAUUGUGUUUAUCAUUUUUAUAUUUAUCAUAAAAUG
ensembl:lncRNA